GGUAAAGUGGCUGAAGUUUAGGUGAUAGAUUGUAAAUCUAUAUAUGAAAUUAUUUUCCUUUACCA
rnacentral:tRNA from 1 species